UCCUAUAUUAGAUUAUGGGUCAGACCUAAGACUAUCGGCGCUGGACUUAAGAUCCAGUUUCAUAGGAAUACGUGCGUUCGAAGCGCACUCUCGGAAC
rnacentral:tRNA from 1 species